ACACACCCACCCACGACCCACACAGCACCGGGACCCACCCACGAUGCACACACACCCACGCCCAACCCACGCACACACACCCACGUUGGAUACCAUCUCUCUCGUCUUCCUCGAUCCCCUUUCUCCACCCCACGCCGCCGCCAGAUUCCGGUGAUCCCCGCGGUUCCCCACCACCUAGCUCUCCUCCCCGAGGUCACCUCUGCCCGCUCACCAUCUCCACUGACCGGUUUCUCUCCUCGCCCAGGAGAGCCACACCCAGGCACUGGUGGUGGUGCGCCGCGUGGAGGCCCCAGCGGCGUUGAGCUGCUGUUGCUGCGGGCACAGCGACGUCGACGUGGUCAGGAUGGUCGCAGCCCUUCAAGAUUCUCAAUGGCGGCAUCUCGGCGCUGAUGGCGGAGUCGACGGCGAGCAUCGGCGGGUACAUGGCAUCGGGGUACCGGAGGCUGGCUGGCGUGCAGCUCUACAUCAACCACCUCAAGCCCGCCUGCCUCGACGACCGCAUCGAGGCCAAGGCGAACCCCAUCCGGUACCUCAACCCCGACGCGUACUUGGAAAAGGACCAGCUACUGGACGCGGUGCAUUGGAUCCGGCAGGCGGUGGGGCUUGCCUGCGACCUGCUCUGGGGCACCGCCCCCCUCGUCGGCGCCUUCUGGAUCGCCUUAGUUACUUGGAAAUAUUGACAUUCUCAAACCAAAUAUGAGGUGCCCUUUAUUCAGUCUAAGGGAGUAUAUUAGCAGCAAAUCAGUCUGAUGAUGACGGGGUGCGGGAGGCAAUGGUGAUCAUGCUGAUGGCAUGAAGAAGGCUGAUGACCACAACCUGGACAUGUUGGCAUUUCGAGAUGGCAAACAUAGGCGGCUGGAGACAACAACCUGGACCACCCACCUCCCUUGCCUUUUUAAUUUUGGUUGUGGUGGUUGCAUCACCAGCGCGGUCGCACAUCAGUAUGUAGUGUUCUUGUGGUGUUGGGUCUGGACUGCAGUGUCCAUCCAGUAGGUUAGGUCCUUGCUGCUGCUAGAUCCCAUGAUGCUCACCUAAGUUUUGUGUUAUGUGGAGGCCAACCUUUGUGAUAUUAUUUGUCGACACUUGUGUGAUCUCGUCUUACUUUGUGAUACAGGACGUAUGAUAUAUAUGUUUUUAUGGA